rnacentral:rRNA from 1 species
UACGGAGGGUGCAAGCGUUAUCCGGAAUUAUUGGGCGUAAAGCGUCUGCAGGUGGCAGUUCAAGUCUGCUGUCAAAGACCGGGGCUUAACUUCGGAAAGGCAGUGGAAACUGAACAGCUAGAGUAUGGUAGGGGCAGAGGGAAUUCCUGGUGUAGCGGUGAAGUGCGUAGAGAUCAGGAAGAACAUCGGUGGCGAAGGCGCUCUGCUGGACCAUAACUGACACUCAGGGACGAAAGCUAGGGGAGCGAAAGGG